UAACAAUCACAAAAUAGCAAGCAUUAGUUCAUAGUUUCAUACGUCUUAUGCACAUGAUAAGUUUGUAUAAGAAGAUGUUCAAAGAGGAUGCGAUUUCACAUAUCAUCUGCUACAACUUCAUUUUAUAACUUGGACAUAAUGUAGUUGACAAGUUCAUUAUAUCAUCAGUGGUUAGAAAGAUAUUCUUGUAACAUAAGAAUCAGCAAUUUCUGUUUCGUGACUUGCGAUUUAAGUUUUGCUAUAGUGAGGAGGUAGAGGAGGAAUUUUGCCAGAACUGGUGCAAGCCCAAGAAGAAGGCUUUCGCAAAGUACUCCAAGACCUAUGAAACUGACGAAGGAAAGAAGGAUAUUGAAGGACAGCUUGAGAAACUGAUUAAAUAUGCUACAGUUAUUCGAGUUUUGGCUCACACUCAGAUCAGGAAGAUGAAGGGUUUGAAGCAGAAGAAAGCACAUCUCAUGGAGAUCUAGGUGAAUGGUGGCCCAAUUGCUCAAAAGGUUGAAUUUGCAAAGAGCUUCUUUGAGAAGCAGAUCCCUAUUGAUGCCGUCUUCCAGAAAGAUGAAAUGAUUGACAUCAUUGGUGUGACAAAGGGUAAGGGUUAUGAAGGGUUUGAAGCAGAAGAAAGCACAUCUCAUGGAGAUCCAGGUGAAUGGUGGCACAAUUGCUCAAAAUGUUGAAUUUGCAAAGAGCUUCUUUGAGAAGCAAAUCCCUAUUGAUGCCGUCUUCCAGACAGAUGAAAUGAUUGAGAUCAUUGGUGUGACAAAGGGUGGGUUAUGAAGGUGUUGUUACUCGUUGGGGUGUCACCCAGCUUCCCCGUAAGACCCAUAGGGGUCUGCAUAAGGUUGCUUGUAUUGGUGCAUGGCAUCCUGCCAGAGUUUCAUUUACAGUUGCCAGGGCUGUAACUGG